GCUUGUCUCAAAGAUUAAGCCAUGCAUGUCUAAGUAUAAACAACUUUAUACUGUAAAACUGCGAACGGCUCAUUAUAUCAGCAAUAAUUUAUUUGAUGGUUUCUUACCCCAUGGAUAACUGUGGUAAUUCUAGAGCUAAUACAUGCGUAAAGUCCCGACUCUUUCUGGGGAGGGAUGUAUUUAUUAGAUAAAAAACCAAUGCGGGUUCUGCCCGGUUUUGUGUUGAAUCAUAGUAACUUUUCGAAUCGCAUGGCUUCACGCCGGCGAUAGUUCAUUCAAAUUUCUGCCCUAUCAGCUUUCGACGGUAGUGUAGUGGACUACCGUGGCGUUAACGGGUAACGGAGAAUUAGGGUUCGAUUCCGGAGAGGGAGCCUGAGAAACGGCUACCACAUCUAAGGAAGGCAGCAGG
rnacentral:rRNA from 1 species